CACAGGGGGAAACCUGCAUGCAGCUAUACCGCGUGUGUGAUGAAGGUCUUAGGAUUGUAAAACACUUUCAGCAAGGGAAAAAAUUAAUAUAAUAAUACUUAUAUUAACUGAUAUUACCUGCAAAAGAAGUACCGGCUAACUCCGUGCCAGCAGCCGCGGUAAUACGGAGGGUACAAGCGUUAAUCGGAAUUAUUGGGCGUAAAGAGUACGUAGGUGGUAUAUUAAGUCAGAUGUGAAAUACUUAAGCUUAACUUAAGAACUGCAUUUGAAACUAAUAAACUAGAGUUUUAUAGAGGGGAGUAGAAUUCCAAGUGUAGCGGUGAAAUGCGUAGAUAUUUGGAGGAAUACCAGAGGCGAAGGCGACUCCCUGGGUAAUAACUGACACUGAGGUACGAAAGCUUGGGGAGCAAACAGGAUUAGAUACCCUGGUAGUCCAUGCUGUAAACGAUGUCAAUUUGAAGAUUGUAAUAUUAUUAUUUUUUAUAAUUUUCGUAGCUAACGCAUUAAAUUGACCGCCUGGGGAUUACGACCGCAAGGUUAAAACUCAAAUGAAUUGACGGGGACCCGCACAAGCGGUGGAGCAUGUGGUUUAUUCGAUACAGCGAAAAACUUUACUAUCUGACUUCUAUAAGUAAUAAG
rnacentral:rRNA from 1 species